rnacentral:rRNA from 2 species
CNUGCAGUCGACGAACCAUCCUGAUGAUUGAAGCUUGCUUCAUGAUUCAGAUCUUGGUGAGUGGCGGACGGGUGAGUAACACGUGGGUAACCUGCCCAGAAGUGGGGGAUAACAUUUGGAAACAAGUGCUAAUACCGCAUAACAACUUAGAUCACAUGAUCUUUGUUUAAAAGAUGGUUUUGCUAUCUCUUCUGGAUGGACCCGCGGCGUAUUAGCUAGUUGGUGAGGUAAUAGCUCACCAAGGCGAUGAUACGUAGCCGACCUGAGAGGGUAAUCGGCCACAUUGGGACUGAGACACGGCCCAAACUCCUACGGGAGGCAGCAGUAGGGAAUCUUCCACAAUGGACGAAAGUCUGAUGGAGCAAUGCCGCGUGAGUGAAGAAGGUUUUCGGAUCGUAAAACUCUGUUGUUGAAGAAGAACAUAUGUGAGAGUAACUGUUCACGUACUGACGGUAUUCAACCAGAAAGCCACGGCUAACUACGUGCCAGCAGCCGCGGU